AUGAGGCGCGCACAACCUGCAGGAGCUCGCCACCGAAGCCCCACAUCCAGGCUGCCGUCCAAGAACACCUCUCGCCACCCAAAGGUUCCCUGGCAAGAGUGCAAACCAGCCCGCGAGUUCACCGCGGCGGCGGUGUGCGAUGGCAGCGGGUGGCCUUGUAAUUCGACUCCGUAGGCUUUGGGAAUAAUUGGAUGUGGAGCUGGCAACGGAGGCCUUCUUCUUCUUCGACUCGGUGGUUUUAGGUUCCCUGGCAAGCGUGCAAACCAGCCCGCGAGUUCACCGUGGCGGAGGUGUCCGAUGGCAGCGGGUGUCGUCCUUCUUCGACUCCGUGGGAUUUGGUAAUUUGCUGGUUCCUCUUCUUUGUUCUCUAGGUUCUCCAUGAUAGCACGGCCAUCUAACUCUGCCUAUGUACGAUUUAGAUGUUGUGGGUUCGAUAUGACGAUUUGCGUAGAAUAUGAUGGUUUGAUGGUAGUGGGUUUUGUUGGAAUGUUGCAAUACCCUGUUCAUAUUUUUUGGUGAACAACACUAUGGCUGAAUGAAUGCUUCAGUUGGUAGUG